rnacentral:rRNA from 1 species
CCCUUAGAUGUUCUGGGCCGCACGCGUGCUACACUGAUGCAUUCAACGAGUCUAAAACCUGGUCUGAUAGGGCUGGGUAAUCUUUUGAAAGUGCAUCGUGAUUGGGAUAGAUGAUUGCAAUUCUUCAUCUUCAACGAGGAAUGCCUAGUAAACGCAAGUCAUCAGCUUGCAUUGAUUACGUCCCUGCCCUUUGUACACACCGCCCGUCGCUCCUACCGAUUGAAUGAUCCGAUGAAUAUCAUGGAUUGAGGAUGCAAGUAGGUUCGCCUAUCUUCAUCUUCGAGAAGUGAAGUAAAUCUUAUCAUUUAGAGGAAGGAGAAGUCGUAACA